rnacentral:lncRNA from 1 species
GAAGGCAGGCUCGCUGGUUUGCUGAGAUCUGUCAGAGUCUGACUGGCUGGCUACAUAUCUGUCUCUGGAACAAUAGGUACCUGUAUUCUGCACGGACUGCUGGGCAGCACUAGCACUCUGGAGAAGGUCUGCCGCUGUCUGCACUUUCCUGGUUCUAUGCAGGCAGAUGAGUGUCACAGCUGUAACUGAGGCACAGAGCAGUACACACAGUGGAGCCGAUUUCCGCGAUGGCGAGAGGGGGCACCGGAGGUGACAACAAUAA